rnacentral:rRNA from 1 species
UACGAGUGCCCCCGAGCGUUAUCCGGAAUCAUUGGGCGUAAAGGGUGUGUAGGUGGCAAUGUUAGUCAGUUGUUAAAACCUGGGGCUUAACCCCAGAUGUGCGACUGAAACGGCAUAGCUAGAGGAUGCGAGGGAUCUGUGGAACUCAUGGAGUAGGGGUGAAAUCCGUUGAUAUCAUGGGGAACACCGAAAGCGAAAGCAGCAGAUUGGCGCAUUCCUGACACUGAAACACGAAAGCGUGGGUAGCGAAUGGG